UCUUUCUUUCAUUCUUUCUUUUUUUGGAAGCAGAAUCUCUCUCACUUUACAGCCCAGAUUGGCUUGGAACUUGAAAUUCCCUGACCUCAGCCUUCCGAGGGCUAUGAUUAAAGCCAUGUACCAUCAUCUGACUUUUCUUUCAGUACACAAUUGCUCAAGCAUUGGUCACUGGUUAGCAGAGAGUGAAAAAAAAUCCCAUUAUUUAUCCUGUCACUCAGAGACAAUAUACAUACAUACGCAUCUAUUCCUAAUGAAAACAGUCAAGCCAGAGGGCUGGCAGAUGGAGACAACGUCUACAAAGUCUUCCCACUCCAAUCCACAUGUGCCUUUGUGAUGUGACUGUGCUCUUUGUGGCAGCAGGAGGUUAUUUCCCUUCCCCUUAGAAGAGUGGGCUGAAUGUUUACUAGUAGGAUGCAUCAGACGGGAUGCGGGUAAGGACGAGUGCCUCGACCUUCGAAAGCCCUGAUGGUUCUGCUCUCAUAGUCUUGGAAUACUGUCCCGGGGUCUCUGAGAAGCUGAUUACUCCAUGAUGGACAUUGUUUCCAAGCUGUUACCUUUAAUCUGCCACAGUGUGGAAUGGAAACCAGUGGACAACUCACAGGAACCAGUUCCUGCUACACAGCUUUCAGUGGUUAACUCAGGAUGUCAGUGGUGGCAGGUGACUUCACCUGCUAAGCCACCUCAUGAUUCUUAUUUACUUUUGAUGUGUGCACCUCUGGGGAGGCCAAAAGUUUGUGCUGAUGUCUUACAUCUGUGUUUCCAGCUUUUUACUCUGUUUUUUCAAACGUGCAUGGGUGUUUUGCCCACGUGUAUGUUUGUAUACAUGUGCCUACUGUCCUCAGAGCCAGAACAGUGAACCGGACUGCCUGGGGCUGGAGUUUUAGGCGCUUGUGAUCUACCAUUUGGGUGCUGAGAAUCAACUUUAGUUAUCUAGAAGAGCAGCAAGUGUUCUAACCACCUAAUCAUCUCUCUAGCUCUGCGUCUUUAAAAUGUACACGGCAUUAUUUGCCGCCUGUGCAUCUACCUGUGAGUGUGAAUGUGCUAUCACGGAACACACACGGUGGUCAGAGAACACUUAAGGGUUCUCCCCUACUCUGGAGUCUGGGCAUCAAGGUCAGGCCACCAGGCUUAUUAUUAGGGAAGCGCUUUUGCCUACUGAGCCUUUUAGAAAUUUCAUCCAUUCAGUUCCUUAUUUCUGUGUGGCACUGCUCAUGCCGGGGUGUGUGUGUGUGUGUGUGUGUGUGUGUGUGUGUGUGUGUGUGUGUGUGUGUGUGUAAGUCCUGGAGGGGUUGCUUUACUCCUUUCUCCACGUGGGUCUGUAAAAGUAACUUCUCUUUGCCUGAAUUAAUUGUCCUCUCCGGCUUACUGUCUCUAUCUGCCAACCUCGCUCAGCCCUGGCAGCUUCUAGCCUCUGUACAGUCUAAUCCAGGUUAGAGACUUGCUGCUAAGUAAGCUCACCCUUCCGAGCUCUUUCUGAGCUUUGGCUUAAUGCUUUAACUCAGCGGUCUUAGCUCAAAACUCCUCUCCAUGCUGACUGACUCAAUCCAGCCUCUCCCUGCUUCUUACUGAACUGGUCUCAGACUAGCGGUCUGUUCUAAUACUUUGGCUCUUUCUCAUUCAUUCUUUCCCAGUGUCUAGCUUGUUCUUUCUUCAACAUGUCUUUGUAAACCUCUCCAGGUAAACCUGUCUCCUCCUGUCUCAUGAGAGUUGGGCAUAUUCUAUGCAGUCAAAUUUUUCUCUGAUUCCACACUUUGCCACUCAAUUAGACAUCACUUUUUUUUUAGUUCUUUUUUUCGGAGCUGGGGACCGAAUAGACAUCACUUUUAAACUAAACAUUCCCUCUACAAACUAACUUUACCUUCACUGUUUGUCAUUAAAGGUGUGUGCUAAGGGUGAGGCACACAACUAGAAAUAGUUUUUUCUUUCUUUAGUAAAUAACACAAUCUUAGGAUUACAGUGUGAUCAAAUAUCCUGCAACAGGGUCCCAAGACUGACCUUAGGUCAACAGGCUUGCAGCCUUUAUUUGAUGAGCUAUUUCACAGCCCCCCAAGCACGUGUUGUUCAUAUGCCUGGAUUUUUACCUGGGUUCUGAACUCAGGUCCUCAUGCUUGUUCAGCAAGUUACAUAACCAACUAAGCUAUUUCCUCAGCCCACAAGCCAUCACUUUGAGACUAUUCUGGCGUAUGUUUCUGAGUGAUCAACCUAUGAUCCGCUCCCCAUGCAUUAUCACGACAGACCUGCUGCAAAAGAAAACGUGAUGCAGCAGAUGCAGAGCAGUGCCGAAUCUUGACACAUCUAAGCUUUGCUGCUCUUUCACGAUCCAUGCAGGCUUCAUGUUUUACUCUACUUUGCUCUGCUUUUCAAAAAUAAAACAAAAAAAAAUCAAAACAAUAACAAAAACCAGUUCUAACUUGCUUACAAUAUAUAUAGUAAUGACAGUAUCUCUCAUUAUAAAACUUAAAUCUUUACUAAUUUCAGCUUUAAAAUGCUUUAGGGGAAAAAAAAUAAACAAUCUGAAAUUUCUGAAAUUAAGUUACCUGAAGGACAGCAAGGGUUUGGAGUGAUCUAGUUCCGAUCUGUCCACAUGGAUUCCCAGUGUGGAGUCUAGGCGGUAGUAAUUCAGGAUACCUGCUUCUGCUCGGAAACCCUGAAAUCCACAGGCAGUGGCGACUUGCUCUGAGAGGAAAGCCAGGUCAGAAGGGAAAGGUGUAUAAUGAUCUGCUGAGUAUUUCUUUGGUAAAAGUAGAGAAAAUAGGAAAAAUGAACAACGAUCUCAGAACAUAGGAAAUCGUGGAAUGAAGUCCUUUACCUUACUAACUACUGCUCACACAGGUGCCCAUCAAUCCUACCCAUUCUCUCUUGAGGAAGCACUGGCAACCCAGCUCUGGCUAGCUGGAACCUGUUAUACACACUGGGCCAGUGUUGUAGCAAGCGAUCCUUCUGACUUUGCCUCUUAAGUGCUGGGAAACAAGUGUGUGCCCUGAUGCCUGGCUGGGAAUCUGCCCCUCGCCCCCACUGAGAAAAUAUAGAAAUCUAAUAACAAAACAUUCACUGUACUGAGCACCACUGCAUGACAGGCGCCAUUCAAGGCAGUGGUAAGUCACACAAAUUCACUUUUUGACAUAUGUACAGAAGCAACUUCUCUUCCACCCUAGCAUAUUUGAAUCCUAAGCAGGAUAAGUCCCCUUAAGUUAAAGGCAACUCAGGGCUGUUAUGACCCAGAGAACCUAAGGAACAAGAUAAUUAAUGAAAAGUGCCCCAAUAAACGAGACACCCCAGAAACAGAAAAGGGUAUUAGUUAAAAACAAAGGAAAUCAGAAAGAACUACACCCUUCACUACUAUUGUGGAUUACUGAGACAGAUACUUUAUUGUCAGAAACAACUGGGCAUGGCAUCUUGUACUAUCAUCUCAAAUUUUUGUAUAUGUGAACAUUUGUGUUAAUAUACUGAUUAUAAUGUGUUUCACUGUGACAUUUCCAGAAAUACUGUGCAGAUCUGCAGGGCGGACGCUCCGCUGCCCUCACUUCUUCCUGGGCUAAAUUAAACUAAAAUCCUAACCAAACACGUUUGUCUUACAGCUCCACUAGUGUUCUGGUGCAGUCUAGUUGGAGCAAGUCACAAAAUUAUCAAGAGUGGAACCAACUGUACGCACAAAACUGCUUUUCUGUAGAUGGCUUUUCCUCUUUGGUUGGAACUUCGGUCUCUGUCUCUCUUCUUCCUUUUUUAGGUUUUUUUUUUUUUGGUUUUUAUGAGUCAGGGUUUUCUCUGUGUAACAGCCCUAGCUGAUCUAGAACACAUUCUUUAGACUCUUGUACUCAGAGAUCUGCCUGCUCCUGUCUCCUCAGUGCUAGGAUUAAAGGUGUGUGCCAUUCUUAAAAUGGAAGGUUGUUGUUAGAGACACCAAGGUGUCCUGUAUUAUUUAGACAAUCAGGGCUGCUGUCUAGCAUCACCGCUUGGGACCUUCAGCCACAUCCAUACAGUCUACACACUGUUCUCCUUUUUUACUGCCUACUGUUUUCUUUGAACAUUCUUGUAGUUCUUAGUAAUUCUCAAUUCUCAUUUUCUUAGUAAAGAAGGGUUAACUCUAGGGUUGGGGACUUAGCUCAGUGGUAGAGCGCUUGCCUAGCAAGCACAAGGUCCUGGGUUCGGUCCCCAGCUCCGAAAAAAAGAAAAGAAAAGAAAAGAAAAAAAAAAGGUAACUCUGAGGUACAGGAUUAGAGCAAAUGAAAAUAUCAUUAUAUGCACUGACUGGCUUUUGUCAGGAUAGCUAACUGCUUAGAACAGUGAGGUACUGCCUGGAGCCUUCACAGGCAUCAGUCAAUCAAUUGAUCUACACCUUUACUAACAGUAGUUUAUGUGUAUGGCUGUUUUGCCUGCACACAUGUCUGUGCACCAUGUGUGUACUUACUGCCCAGAAAGGCAAGAAGAGAGCAUCAGAUUCUGUGGUGGAUAUGAUGGAUCUGAGCUACCAUAUGGAUGUUGGAAAUUGAAGCUAGGUCCUCUGUAAGAACAAUAGAUGUUCUUAACCACUGAGCCACCUCUCCAUCUCCUAAUUUAAUCUUCUGACUGUUAUUACAUAGACCACACUGGACUGAACCUAGUGCGCCUCCUGUCUCAGCCUCUUAAGGUCAGAGGUAGGACUAGAGGUAUGUGCUUCCAUUAUCACUCUCCAAGGAGAUGUAAAGGAGGCAAUAAUCACAGCCCUGCCUUUAAAUGGUACAUUCAUGCUCUUGACAGACUUUGCUAUGGCUGUGGUAUUUCAUGUUUGUUCAGGAACAAAUCCAACCACACAGGGCUAAGAACCUAUAAAUGUACAACAGGAAUAAAGCAAAUACCUUACUGUCCCAGUUAUAAUGGUAGCCCAGAGUGACCCAGCGCAGUCUCUCUAGUAAACUUCGGGGUCUCCGCUUAGUCUUGUCUUUAGACCUGCAAAGAUAGUAACCAGGAGAAUUCAGUCUUAAAUGGCAGCAACAGUCCUCUCUAUGAACCCAAGUCUAUGCCUUUAGCCUAAGCCGUUAGCCACGGCUGGAUAAGAAAGCUGACGGUAAGAGAAUGAAGACUGGAACUGAGAUUUUUGUUUACUUUUGUUUACAUAUACUAUGUAGUCCUGCCGAGGCUUGCACUCAUAGGUAAACAAAGAUGGCUUCAAAUUUAAGCAAUCUGCCUGCUUUUGCCUCCUGAAUGCUGGUAUUUACAGUGCACAUUGCUGUUCCUAGCUCAGAAUAGAAAUGCUAGAUUUAACCUAAAUUCAAAUCUUUAUCCAUUUACCCAAAAUAUUUUCAGUAUUUUCAAAAGUGACAGCCCUAACACAGCAAACAGAAACACGCUCUGCGCUCUGCCCUUGCUGCCCCUCCAGGCAUUAUCAGGAUGAUGUACAGGCAGACUGGCUGCCCUCUCCCCUGGUCUAUGCGCUUCCACAGCAGCUUGCUGUCUCUGUCAUGGCUAAGAGUGUAUGUAAGUAUAGCCAUUUUUCUUAGCAACCAAGUUAUAAUAUAGCUUUCAUGAGAACCCUAACUAUAAGGAAAUGUACUGGACAGCUGCAGUGGGCAGUCUGGGCUACAUAAGCAAGCAUUCUAUUUUCUUUUUUCUUUAUAAAAAAUAGCCGUGUGGUAAGGGUGGUGGUGCACCCUUUUAAUCCCAGUACUAAGUAGGCAGAGGCAGACAGAUCUCUGAGUUCAAGGACAGAGUUCAUAAGUUUUAGGAUAGCCAGGGCUUCAUCUCAAAGAACCAAACAAACAAACCAACCCACCCACCCACCAACCAAACAACAGUGGUAAAUCAUUGGGAAGCCACCAACGGAGCCAGAUCAGACUAAGUUUUUUUUUUAAAGAUUUUACUUAUUAUGUAUACAAUGUUUUGCUGUAGGGCAGAAAAGAGCACUGGAUCCCAUUACAGAUGGUUGUGAGCCACCAUGUGGUUGCUGGGAAUUGAACUCAGGACCUUUGGAGGGGCAGCCAGUGCUCUUAACCACUGAACUCUCUCCAGCACUAGACUACCUAGGUUUUAUAGGCAACAAUUUCAGAUUUAUAAAAACACGAUGGUACUGGGCACAGUGGUUCACACCUUUAAUGUCAGCACUCAGAAGGCAGAUACAGGAGGAUCUCUGAGUUCGGGGCCUGAUCUGAUCUACAUAGCAAGCUCCAGGACUACAAAGAAAGACAUUACAUCAAAACAAAUAAACUAUGAUGGUGCCAUGUUGGGGUUGGUCUUGUGCACUGUGUAUUCAGUUGCUGACUUCUGUGCCCACAUAUCUGGUACAGUUUGGACAUUAGCACUGUCAUGAUUAUCAAACCAUUCCCUCUAGAAUUAUCUCUGGUUAAUAAAGAAGUUGCUCAGCCUAUGGCUGGGCAGAGACAGGAAGCCUGGACUUCUGAUCCCAGGGCCAGGGAAGUCAGAGGACCACGAGAGCAAACACAAGGACACACAUGGACUAGAGCAAGCUAGGGCAAGGCAGGUGUCAAGUCACAGAGCUUUAGAGGGAUAGAAUAACUCAGAACUUGCCCAGCCUAGGCUUGUAGCUUGUUAAACUUAACAGGUCUUUGUAUCAAUUAUUUGGGAGCUAGAGGGAAACUGAUAAGUUCAUGCUUAAAUUAGUCUACAGUAUCAUAAAACAAAGAAUUUGAUUAGUUCUUUGUUCUGGUUCUAAAAUAGAAAUUUCUUUUAAGUUCUUGGUCCUGGGGAUGAAACUCAAGAGUCUGCAUGCUAGCCAAGUACUCGGUCAUUGAUCUACACCCACUCCUAACUUUCAGAAUUUCCUGACAGCAGCCCCACUGUUAAUCACAGUGGGCUCUUGCAUCACACCUGGGUUUAUGCUAAGGAGUAAUGAUGAUUCAGGAUAUUUGCUGGUAAUCCCACAAAAGCCAACUGUGUGAUUAGAGGGGCGAGGUUUAAUGUUAAGUGGUAUUAGCUGGACUUCCAGAAUGGGUGUAGCUUUAAAACUGAAUUGUCACGUGGCUAAUGCCUUGUAUAUAUUCACGUGUAAUGCCUGUAUGUGUGUAUGAGCAUGCCCUUGGAGGCCAGAGGCCAACUUGGGUGUCAUUUCCAAGAUGUCUAUCUUGCCUUUACCUAACAGGGGCUUCCUGAUUAGACCAGCAGGUAAGCCGCAGGGCUCUGUCUCUCUUUUCCUAGCACAAGGAUUACAAGUAAGCGCCCCCAUGUGGUCUGUUGUGGGCGGGUUGAUUCAGAUCCUUAAGCUCCUGUGACAAGACAUUUUACCAACUAAGCUAUCUCCCCAGUCUUUGUAUCAUGGCAAGGCCAUCCCUGUCUCCCCCAUCCCCCUCAACUAAAACACAAUAAAUCACAUGGGUUAUGGGGAACUGAGCUGGUCCAUGUUCUAAAAAGGAAAAACUUUUCUUGGAGUCAUCUCCCAAGCUCAAACGGCAAAUGUUUUGCUCAGAGAAUUAUCUUUUUUUUUUUUCUUUUCUUUUUUUUCCGGAGCUGGGGACCGAA